rnacentral:rRNA from 1 species
UACGUAGGGUGCAAGCGUUAUUCGGAAUUACUGGGCGUAAAGCGUGCGCAGGCGGUUCGCCAAGUCAGGUGUGAAAUCCCCGGGCUUAACCUGGGAAUUGCGCUUGAAACUAGCGGGCUUGAGUGUGGCAGAGGGGGGUGGAAUUCCACGUGUAGCAGUGAAAUGCGUAGAGAUGUGGAGGAACACCGAUGGCGAAGGCAGCCCCCUGGGUCAACACUGACGCUCAUGCACGAAAGCGUGGGGAGCAAACAGG